rnacentral:rRNA from 1 species
UACGAAGGGGACUAGCGUUGUUCGGAAUUACUGGGCGUAAAGCGCACGUAGGCGGCUUUGUAAGUUAGAGGUGAAAGCCCAGGGCUCAACCCUGGAAUUGCCUUUAAGACUGCAUCGCUUGAACAUCGGAGAGGUAAGUGGAAUUCCGAGUGUAGAGGUGAAAUUCGUAGAUAUUCGGAAGAACACCAGUGGCGAAGGCGACUUACUGGACGAUUGUUGACGCUGAGGUGCGAAAGCGUGGGGAGCAAACAGG